UUAUCAUUUAACCAAUACUUUCUCUCUUUUCUUUUUCAAUAAGUUUAUUUUAGUUAAUAAGAAUUGGCUGUAAGCAUUUACUUAGGUGAAAUCUGAAAUAUUCAUUGACCUGGUGAGUAAUGUGUCUGAUCCUUUGGGACUGGUAGAACUUCUUAUAUAAUGAACAAGAUUUUUGGUAAUCCUCAUCAUAUUUAGCCGGGCUGUCGGGGUGGGAGCCCAAGGCUGGGUUGCUUUAAGGGAACUGUAUUUUUGGCAUUUGGGUAACCAGUAAGAUGAUAUAGAAGCUGUUCUGUUGCUGGAUUGGUGACUCUAAAUAUUAGAAUAACCUCAGGUUUUGGGGAUUGUCUGGCCCAUUCUUUGCAGUUUGCCCUGAUUGAGCAAUCUCAAAGUGGCCCCACGGGACCCCAAUCAGACCACCACGGAGGAGUAGAAUUUUUUAAGGGCUGAUUUAUAUCCCCUUAUUUUAAUUAGUGUCAGUGGUUUUAGUGUUGGAUGAAACAGAGGCAUAGAGCCAAGACCACACCCCGGAUAUGUAGCAAAGCCAAAUGAGAACCCAGCUUUCCAGAGUUCAAAUUCUGUACCCUGUCCACUGAACAAAAUGGCUAGACAUCCCAGAAGACUGAAUUGUCUAGUUAGUGCUUUCACUUCUGAUUCAGGAAAUGGGCAGAGAUUCUGUGAGAUGCUGGUGGACAUUUCUGUGGUAUUUUCUGACACCCCCCCCCCCCACCAGGCACCUGACACAGCAGGAGGAGGACACCGACAUGUCCGAUUCAGUCUGCUUUUUGGAACAGGACUACAAGCAUAUACUGGUGGGACCACAUCUUGAAGACCUGGAAUGACCAGCAGUGGCUCCAGAACUAUCUCAUAAGAAAGCUACAUUUCUGGAGCUUUGUGGGCAGCUUGUCUUCAAGCGUAGACACCCACAUGAUUUGCUCGUCCAGAAGAGGGUUACUGUAACUGUCUGGAAACUGGCUAUCCCAGAUGGCUACAAGUCCAUUGCCAACCAGUUUGGUGUUGGAAAGUCAACUGUGGGUAAAACGGUUUCUGAGGCAAUCAGGCAUGCAGUUUAUCACAGGGUGGAAGGCAUAAAAGAUAUUCCUGAGGUAAUUGCUGGCUUUGAGAGAAUGGGGUUUCUAAACUGUGCUGGGGCCAUUGAUGGGACUCAUGUGCCCACAGUUUGCCCUCCUCAAGGAGCACGUGAGUACAUAAACUCCAGAGGCUGCUACUCCAUUUUUAUGUAGGUCCUUGUGGACCACAGAGGCUGAUUUAUUAACAUCAACAUGGGCUGCACUUUAAAAAUGUAUGAUGCUAGGGUUUUCCACCAAUCAGGAGUCUACAUUCAUAGACCGAUCGGGACUCUAUUCCCACCAAAUGACAUUGUCAUAAAUGGAAUUACUGUUCGCACCAUUAUUCUGGAGGACCCUACGUACUCCCUUUUGCCUUGGUUUAUGAAAUCUUAUGCUGAUAGAGGCCCUAGCAAAACAAUGUUGAAUUACACUCCCAGCAGGUAGAGAAGGGUUGUUGAGUGUACGUUUGGCACAUUGAAAUCCCGUUCAAGAUGUUUACAGACUCAUUUGGAUUCCAGUGUCAUCAAUGCUGUCUGCAUCACCAUGGCUUGCUGUGCUCUUCACAGGCUUUGUGAAGCCAGAAGUGAGCCACUUCCAUUACUGUCAUAGGCCCAUUCAGGGUAAUUGCUGAACUGGUACCCUCAGCCAGACAGUGCAUCUAACGCUGCUGGAGCUGGAUGCACGUGGGCUACAGAAGCCAGGGAUGCUUUGUGCACCGACAUUAUGGACUAGCAUGGGCCAAUGGAAGAAGGAGAAUAGCAAUCUCAGAAUGUGCUUGUGUGUGGGGGAAGGAGCUGAUGGAUUGGGGGGCGGGGGUGUUGAUUGCCAUGCAAUGUACUUAUGAGUGAUCUGCCCGCUUAUCAAAUGGGGAAGUGGAAAGGACAGGUUGGUUCACAACAUGGAUUGAUGCAAGGAAGUGAUUGAUGUAACCAAGUGUAUUGAGCAAUAGUAUUUCCAUACUAAUUCUCCCUGAUCAUGUGUUUACCUUUAUUAUUUGAAAUACAAAUUGUAUGAUUUGAUGUAGUGAUAGCAGUAAACUUACUUGAUAACAUAAACAGCUUUAUUUAUAAACAUGUAUUGGGAAAGUACACUAUUACCCUAUUGGCGGGCAGGCCAGCUGCCAUUAUCACACCAAAUACCAGCAAAAACAAAACCUUAAAAAAACCCCAAAGUGCAUGAACAAGUGCAAACAGUGAACUGUGUACAAGAUAGAAACCUCCUGCUGAUCCAUGUCCUUGGCCCCACGUUCUUCUUUCUUUUUCCUUCUACAUUUGCUGCCCACUUAGUGCAGGGGGUCGGGGGCAUCCACAGAAGAGGGGGUCACUAUGGAGGUCUCCAGGGGGCAAAGUUGUACUGCCUAGCUGCUCCUAGGGACCCUUGCAAGGGCCACCCAGCCAUGGAGUUGUCCAAGCUGGUUCUGCACUGCAGCCCAGGGUACCGCCGAGGGGACUCAGGCUGUGGUGUGGGUGCAGCAGGAGCCAAUACGUUUGCAGCCAUUAGUAAUAGCAGAUGCUCAAACAGCUCUUUCUGCUGAGCUCUAUCAUCUUCCUAUAGCUGCUGUUACUGUUGCAGGAACUGUGAAGCAAAGGUUUGCUCCUGUGUUGCAACCCUGUCCUCAUGCUGUGCAGCCACCCCGAGCCUUUCCUUUGCCUCUCGCCAUGCCUUUUCUCUAGUUGCAAGUCCCUCUGUUUCCGUAGUACUGGACCUUCUUGUUGGCCCUUUGCAGAACUUGAUUCUUCAACCAUAGGUUCAUCACAGAAACGCUUCCUGUUGGUACCGCAAAUGAAGCCCAGUUGGAGUGACUGAGCCACACCUGCCACAAUGAGCCAUCAGGAAUCAGUCAGCAUCUUCCUGCAGGACACCAACAACUGCCAGCAGAGUGGGUCAACAGAAUAACCCUGCUGCCAUGAUGCAAGGCACUAACUAUGGUGCUAGAGACUACGGUGAUGGGCAUCUUAUUGAUGUGUGUAAUGAAAGUAAUAAAUAAUAAUAACUAAUUAACAAUAAAAGAUCCCAGUGAGGUAUCAAGA